UCUUAUUAUACAAAGGUAGUAUUCUCGAAUAAACCUAUGCUCUUUGACGGCCUUUUUUCUUAUUAAAGGAACUUGUUAUUUAUCGAAAUUACCCGCUUAAUUUUACUAAAUUAGUGCUUUUAUACCGCCGUCUCAAGAAUAGAAUUCUACUUAAAUUCACAAUAAUUUAUAUUACUAAGUCAGGUCAAGGUGAAGCUUUAAUUUUGGUGAUAGUGAGUUAUACAUAAAAUUUAUUUAUAGCAAUUUGAUUAAAACUUUAUAAAAAUAAAGAUUUAAAAGUAUUAACAGAAUAAAAUUCUAUUAAGAACUAGUAAAAAAAGGUGA
rnacentral:rRNA from 1 species